rnacentral:RNase_P_RNA from 1 species
AAAACAAGCUGGCUUGUCGCUUUGGCGAUUAAAGGCUAAAGAGGAAAGUCCGGGCAAUGCAGAGCACCCUACUUCCUAACGGGAAGGCAUAUCUUUCAUAUGACAGCAAGUGCCACAGAAAACAAACCGCCCGCUUCAAUUAAAUGAAGAGGGUAAGGGUGAAAAGGUGAGGUAAGGGCUCACCGCUCUAUGGGUGACCAUAGAGGCAGGGUAAACCUUAGGGAUUGCAAGGCCAAAUAGCCAUGUCUACGCAAUGGCGUAAUGGGCUGCUCGUUCAUUUUUAAGACAUGUGGGUGGGCCGCUAGAAGUUAUAAGUGAUUAUAACUCCAGAUAAAUGACAAGCAGUGCGCUGUAGCGCACUACAGAACCCGGCUUAUAGGCUUGUUUUUCUU